AAGAGGUGAAGAAGGGCAAGUCUGGUGCCAGCAGCCGCGGUAAUUCCAGCUCCAAUAGCGUAUACUAAAAUUGUUGCGGUUAAAAAGCUCGUAGUUGCAUUUGUGCGCCGCGCUGUCGGUGCACCGCAUCCGCGGUGAUACUGACACGUUUGCGGAGCAUAUCGUCGGUGAGCCGCCGGUCAAACGGCGGUUCAAUAUCAAAAUCCUAUCGCGGUGCUCUUCAGUGAGUGUCGAGAUGGGCCGACAAUUUUACUUUGAACAAAUUAGAGUGCUCAAAGCGGGCUCAAAAUGCUGCUUGAAUAUUUCGUGCAUGGAAUAAUAGAAUAUGAUCUCGGUUCUAUUUUGUUGGUUUUCAGAACUCCGAGGUAAUGAUUAAUAGGGAUAACUGGGGGCAUUCGUAUUGCGACGUUAGAGGUGAAAUUCUUGGAUCGUCGCAAGACGAACAUCAGCGAAAGCAUUUGCCAAAGGUGUUUUCAUCAAUCAAGAACGAAAGUUAGAGGUUCGAAGGCGAUUAGAUACCGCCCUAGUUCUAACCGUAAAUAUGUCAUCUAGCGAUCCGCCGACGUUACUACAAUGGCUCGGCGGGCAGCUUCCGGGAAACCAAAGAUUUUGGACUCCGGGGGGAGUAUGGUUGCAAAGCUGAAACUUAAAGGAAUUGACGGAAGGGCACCACCAGGAGUGGAGCCUGCGGCUUAAUUUGACUCAACACGGGAAAUCUCACCAGGCCCGGACACCGGAAGGAUUGACAGAUUAACAGCUCUUUCUUGAUUCGGUGGGUGGUGGUGCAUGGCCGUUCUUAGUUGGUGGAGCGAUUUGUCUGGUUAAUUCCGGUAACGAACGAGACUCUAGCCUGCUAAAUAGGCGUCGUCAUUUAGGUGUGCGUGGCUUCGGUCGCGCAACUCACUGGCGACGUAUUAAAAUUCUUCUUAGAGGGACCGGCGGCUUCGAGCCGCACGAGAUUGAGCAAUAACAGGUCUGUGAUGCCCUUAGAUGUCCUGGGCCGCACGCGCGCUACACUGAAGGAAUCAGCAUGUUCUCCCUGGCCUAGAGGCCCGGGCAACCCGCUGAAACUCCUUCGUGCUGGGGAUUGGGGUUUGCAAUUAUCCCCCAUAAACGAGGAAUUCCUAGUAAGCGCGAGUCAUAAGCUCGCGUUGAUUACGUCCUUGCCCUUCUUCACCUCUU
rnacentral:rRNA from 1 species